rnacentral:lncRNA from 1 species
UGGGGAUCCUACCACUUCAAAGGGAAAAGCUCAUUCAGAAGGAGGGGAAAACAGGCAGAAAUAAGAUUAACUUCACCCUAGGAAGGGAACUCACACCCUGCAGAGGAGGUGGGUGGAAACAAAGAUGAGGAGUGAGAGCUGGGAAGGUGUAGAAGGGAACUGGAGACCCUGAGGAGCAAAUCUGGUUCUUUUUUGUAAACAUAGAAAAAAAAGUAAAUCACAUACAGGGGAAAAAAAAAAAACAAACAUUGCAGCAGACAAAAGAGGUGUGAGAGGAAACAGAGGACUUUCAGCAGUGGUCUUGUGAAUGGAUCACAAAGUUGUUGUGAGUCCCUAUCUGCAGCACUCUCCCUGCAACAACACAAAUGGUUUCUGACCAUUUAAUUACCAGGAAAAUGUUGACAGGGUGAAGGAUUUUAUGUGAAAAGGAAAAAUUACUAGGAGAGGGUUGGAAAGGUAGGGGAAAAUGACCAGAAGUGAAGGCCUGGGGAAAAAGAGAGGGAGGCAAAUGCAAAAACCUAGAUCAGGCCACCAGAUCUGGGUCCACUCUGGAUAGGAACAUCCUCCUUAAACACAAUCAUUAUUUUCUUUACUGUGGAUGUACUGAAGGGGAUCUGGGGCAGCUGUGGGGCUUGGAAUCAGAGUAUGAAUGGCCUGGCUUGGGAGCCCAACAAUUGUGCUGCAUGGUCAUUCCAAGCUCCAUGGGGGGCAAGAAUCCUGGCAACAAUGGCACUGGGAGCAGUACAGGCUUCCUGUCUUUAGGACACAAGGUGUUUGUGCUCCAUGAACACACCUCAACAAAUUGUGUUGGCUUCAUUGCAGGAUCUGGACAUGAUGGACCUUGGGAGUCCCUUCCAACUCAGGAUAUUCUGAUUGCUGAACUGCUACUUACAGCUUUUCGCAACCUUCCUGCUUGUUCUUCUUCACUGCCCCUGUUUGAAAGUGUCUUGAAGAUGAAAUUAUGUCCUGAAGGAAUUCUGGUUGUAUCACUCUGGUUUGCUGCAUUGGACCAACUGUGAGCUCUCUGGAAGCCAGAAUGUCUCCUCAUGCUCCCUCACCAAAAGUCAGAGCCUCUGUCAGAGGAAGCCAUGAGCACAACACAUGAGCCAUGCAUACUUGCUUUGCCCACAGUAAAGCAAUGUCUGUAGCAAGCCAGCAGAGAAACAACCCAAGGUGAGACUUUACUGAGUCAGGAAUCCCACUUGGAGAAAUGCAGCCUGUAGCAGAACAUGACAUUUUUGUGUCUAUUGCCUAGAGAG